CAUUAGUGAACGCCCUCACGGGCUUAUAACUAUUCCAAACCUCUGUGAACCGUGCCCUUCGGGGUUAUUUUACAAACAUGGUGUAAUGAACGUCAUAUAUCAUAACAAGACAAAACUUUCAACAACGGAUCUCUUGGCUCUCGCAUCGAUGAAGAACGCAGCGAAAUGCGAUAAGUAAUGUGAAUUGCAGAAUUCAGUGAAUCAUCGAAUCUUUGAACGCACCUUGCGCCCUCUGGUAUUCCGGAGGGCAUGCCUGUUUGAGUGUCAUGUAGACUCAAUCCCUCGGGUUUCCGAGGAGAUUGGACUUGGGUGUUGCCGCUCUGCCGGCUCGCCUUAAAAGACUUAGCGGGAUAGCACCGUAGUCGGCGUAAUAAGUUUCGUCGGUGAAGGUUGUGAUGACUGCUUACAAUCGCCCUCGGGCAAUUUUUGACUCUGACCUCAAAUCAGGUAGGACUACCCGCUGAACUU
rnacentral:rRNA from 1 species